GACGAACCGUGCGAACGUUGUUCGGAAUCACUGGGCUUAAAGGGCGCGUAGGCGGGCCGCCAAGUCCGGGGUGAAAGCUUCCGGCUUAACCGGAAAAGGGCCUUGGAUACUGGCGGUCUGGAGGGAGGUAGGGGUCUGCGGAACUGCUGGUGGAGCGGUGAAAUGCGUUGAUAUCAGCAGGAACGCCGGUGGCGAAAGCGGCGGACUGGACCUCUUCUGACGCUGAGGCGCGAAAGCCAGGGGAGCAAACGGG
rnacentral:rRNA from 1 species